GUGAGGAAUAUUGGACAAUGGGCGAAAGCCUGAUCCAGCCAUGCCGCGUGUGUGAAGAAGGUCUUCGGAUUGUAAAGCACUUUAAGUUGGGAGGAAGGGCAUUAACCUAAUACGUUAGUGUUUUGACGUUACCGACAGAAUAAGCACCGGCUAACUUCGUGCCAGCAGCCGCGGUAAUACGAAGGGUGCAAGCGUUAAUCGGAAUUACUGGGCGUAAAGCGCGCGUAGGUGGUUCGUUAAGUUGGAUGUGAAAGCCCCGGGCUCAACCUGGGAACUGCAUCCAAAACUGGCGAGCUAGAGUACGGUAGAGGGUGGUGGAAUUUCCUGUGUAGCGGUGAAAUGCGUAGAUAUAGGAAGGAACACCAGUGGCGAAGGCGACCACCUGGACUGAUACUGACACUGAGGUGCGAAAGCGUGGGGAGCAAACAGGAUUAGAUACCCGGGUAGUCC
rnacentral:rRNA from 1 species